UUGAGACUCUCGGGAUCGGAUAAGACCGGAACGGUCUUUUUAUUUGAGAAGUUUGUCAAACUUGGUCAUUA
rnacentral:rRNA from 1 species